rnacentral:rRNA from 1 species
UUUGGGUGGAUGAGUGGCGAACGGGUGAGUAACACGUGAGUAACCUGCCCCUUCUUUGGGAUAACGCCCGGAAACGGGUGCUAAUACUGGAUAUUCACUUGCCUUCGCAUGGGGGUUGGUGGAAAGGGUUUUUCUGGUGGGGGAUGGGCUCGCGGCCUAUCAGCUUGUUGGUGGGGUGAUGGCCUACCAAGGCUUUGACGGGUAGCCGGCCUGAGAGGGUGACCGGUCACAUUGGGACUGAGAUACGGCCCAG